rnacentral:lncRNA from 1 species
GUCAAGUCUUAUUUGAUCUGCCCAAAAUGUUUAUAAUGAAAAUGGAAAAAAGAAGGAACUUUUACAUAUUUGUUUUCAUUUCAUCAAAUGGUGACAUCUUAUAGAAAAAGAAAAAUACAUCCAUGAUGUAAAAUUCUGUGCUUUUUUUCCUUACAGACUGAUUAGAUGUCUCGCUCUGGUCAUCUUCAGCUUUGGCUAACAAAAUUUCAGAUGAGUGAACGAACAAAUGGCAGGCCUCUGCUGUAAGAACAUGUCCCCAGGUCUCCAUAAACGAUUAUUGGGAUGUCUCACAGUAAGUGUGUCCUGAGCUUUAUCUUUUUACAGCAUUGAAGUGCUGGGAAUCACUUUGGGUAUGUACGGAGGGGGGCGAUCGUGGGGAUACAUCCUGCCAUUGCCUCUCCAUAUGUAAAUUCUGUACAUCUGUACU